rnacentral:tRNA from 1 species
GCCUGUAUGGCGGAAUUGGUAGACGCGGUAGACUCAAAAUCUACUUCUAGUAAUAGAGUGCAGGUUCAACUCCUGUUACAGGCACCA